rnacentral:snoRNA from 17 species
ACAACGUGAUGAUAAAAGAAAACGGCGAUGCUUUUACUCGUGCUCCUUUUAGCUAUCUACAAGGGGCUACAUGAAGCGAAAUGAGCGACAAAAGCGAGUAGUUUUCAAUCUGAUAAAA